AUACUUACCUGGCAGGGGAGAUAACAUGAUCACGAAGGUGGUUUCCCCAGGGCAAGACUCACCCAUUGCACUCCGGAUGUGCUGACCCCUGCGAUUUCCCCAAAUGUGGGAAACUCGACUGCAUAAUUCGUGGUAGUGGGGGACCAUUGUAUACUUGCUUAAG